UUGGAGGGCAAGUCUGGUGCCAGCAGCCGCGGUAAUUCCAGCUCCAAUAGCGUAUAUUAAAGUUGUUGCAGUUAAAAAGCUCGUAGUUGAAUUUCGGAAUUUUUUUAUCGGUUGAAUCAACAGGUUCGUACUGAUUUUAAGAAUUUCUACCUUCUGGAGAACCUUAAUGUCAUUUAUUUGGUGUUUUGGGAAACCAGGACUGUUACCUUGAAAAAAUUAGAGUGUUUAAAGCAGGCUUAUGUCUGAAUAUAUUAGCAUGGAAUAAUGAAAUAGGACGGCAUGGUUCUAUUUUGUUGGUUUCUAGGAUCACCGUAAUGAUUAAUAGGGAUAGUUGGGGGCAUUAGUAUUCAAUUGUCAGAGGUGAAAUUCUUGGAUUUAUUGAAGACUAACUACUGCGAAAGCAUUUGCCAAGGAUGUUUUCAUUAAUCAAGAACGAAAGUUAGGGGAUCGAAGACGAUCAGAUACCGUCGUAGUCUUAACCAUAAACUAUGCCGACUAGGGAUCGGAUGAUGUUAAUUUUUUAAUGACUCAUUCGGCGCCUUACGGGAAAC
rnacentral:rRNA from 1 species